rnacentral:rRNA from 1 species
UACAGGGGGGGCAAGCGUUGUUCGGAAUUACUGGGCGUAAAGGGCUCGUAGGUGGCCAACUAAGUCAGACGUGAAAUCCCUCAGCUUAACUGGGGAACUGCGUCUGAUACUGGAUGGCUUGAGUUUGGGAGAGGGAUGCGGAAUUCCAGGUGUAGCGGUGAAAUGCGUAGAUAUCUGGAGGAACACCGGUGGCGAAGGCGGCAUCCUGGACCAACACUGAGACUGAGGAGCGAAAGCCAGGGGAGCAAACGGG